AGGGCAGGGCUGUGCCGAGCUCGCUCUCUACCGCCUCCGAGCUCGGCAAUAUGUGCAUUCGCAGAUCUGAGCAGGCGAGGCGAUGGAGGGGAGCACUGCACGGCAGCGGGCAUUGCCACGGGCACUUGUGACCGCCCCCGGGGGGGGGGCUCCCCGGCAGAGCCACUUCCCCUGUGGGGGGAGCGCGCAGGCUGGAAGCGAGCCCCAGCCCCUGCGCGCGGGAGAGCGGCUCCUCUCUGCCGCCACCGUGCAUGGCAAGGCAGCGCUCUGCAGGCACUGGGCAGGCUGGUUCUCCCCGGACACGUGAUUGAAUCCGAUCUCCGGCGCUCCUCAAUGGGGUGGUGGAGGAGGAGGAGGUUGCCGUGUUGUGUACUUAAGGUCGCGUGUGUGUGCUGGGCUGCUCGCUCGCUCGCUGCCUCGGAGGAGUAAGGGCCACUGCUCCGCCUUCUCCUUUUCGCAAUGUUGACGCAAUCUAUAAAUAGUGGAACAAAAGGACCAACUUCCUCGCAGCUUUGCUGAAACUGCACAAAAAAAGGCAACAGGGGGCUUGUUAUUUGUAUCGAUUUUUUUCCGCUUCGAAAGACGAAUCUGGGGCCGAUCUCGCAAAGGGAAGCUUUUUUUUCCCUGCGCUCUCUCCUACCGCUGGCAGCGUCCUGCAAGUGGCUCUUUUGCCUUCCACUGCGAAGGGGGUUUUAUUUUUUUUUUUCCUCCUCUGCUGACAUUUGUGGAUGAAAAUUACUUACACCGAUGUCUAUCCUGUAAUUAAAGGUUUUGACCUUUCAAUAGAGAGCUGAUUCUGGAGAACAACUUACUUCUAUGAUUGAAAAAUUCUCUCUGAAAAGCUGAUGCAGCAUAAGUAUGGUACAUUCAUUUGGCACUCUGAAGAAGAGAUUAUUUUGGCAGUAUCUUCCCACCCCUUAACAAAUAGAUGAUACAUCUGACUCAUCUGGAACUGGAAAAGAAAAUCUGCCAGUUUGCAUCAACUCCUAACUUGUGGGCUUCUGUUCACCACAAGGACAAUUGGGUAAAUCUUUGCCAGUAAUUCUUGGAAGAUGAGGAAGAAGAGUCAUCUCCAAAAAGGCAUGGGGUGCCUCGUACUGUAGGCCUGGGCCUUCUGUAUUUAUAGGAAAAAUCUAGUAUAGUGUAAGGUGUUCUUACAUUUAAUUUAAUUCAGAAAGAACCAGCAACUAAGAUUGUUCCUGAAUCUAAAGUUUAAAAUGGGGAACAGCCAUCUUGAAAUUUGUGAUGCAGAGUAAGAUCAAAAGAAUAUGCUUCCAUUCAAAAAUACAAGAAAUUAUAUUUUGAAGGUAAUGAACUACCACUGAAUGGAAAUCCAAGUGAAUGUAAUUAAGAAUCGUCUUCCUAAAGAACAUCUGAAACUUAUGCUUAAAUGACAAAUUAAGAGUGCCAAGUACAGCGUAUUCCCAAGAACAGCAAAAAUGACAACAAUUAUUGUUCCUCUGUUGUGAACUAAUGAGCUUCCGUAUCCAUGUCCUGUCUUGCUAAAUAUUUAGGUACAAAUAAUGUCUGGCCUUACCAUGUUUCAGGCACUUACUAAAAAGGAAGUAAUUGGUGUGACUU